CAGUCGCCGCGGGAAUACAGAGGGUGCAAGCGUUAAUCGGAAUUACUGGGCGUAAAGCGCGCGUAGGUGGUUUGUUAAGUUGGAUGUGAAAUCCCCGGGCUCAACCUGGGAACUGCAUCCCAAACUGGCAAGCUAGAGUAUGGUAGAGGGUGGUGGAAUUUCCUGUGUAGCGGUGAAAUGCGUAGAUAUAGGAAGGAACACCAGUGGCGAAGGCGACCACCUGGACUGAUACUGACACUGAGGUGCGAAAGCGUGGGGAGCAAACAGGAUUAGAUACCCCGGUAGUCCCUGUCUCUUAUAC
rnacentral:rRNA from 1 species